rnacentral:rRNA from 1 species
GACGAACGCUGGCGGCGUGCUUAACGCAUGCAAGUCGAACGGAAAGGCCCCUUCGGGGGUACUCGAGUGGCGAACAGGUGAGUAACACGUGAGUAACCUGCCCUUGACUUCGGGAUAACUUCAGGAAACUGGGGCUAAUACCGGAUAGGAAUCCUUGCUGCAUGGUGGGGGUUGGAAAGCUUCGGCGGUUUUGGAUGGACUCGCGGCUUAUCAGCUUGUUGGUGGGGUAGUGGCUUACCAAGGCUUUGACGGGUAGCCGGCCUGAGAGGGCGACCGGCCACAUUGGGACUGAGAUACGGCCCAGACGCCUACGGGAGGCAGCAGUGGGGAAUAUUGCACAAUGGGCGGAAGCCUGAUGCAGCAACGCCGCGUGCGGGAUGACGGCCUUCGGGUUGUAAACCGCUUUCAGCAGGGGCGAAGCUUGUGGUGACGGUACCUGCAGAAGAAGCACCGGCUAACUACGUG